rnacentral:rRNA from 1 species
UGAGUACGAGAUGCUACGGCAUCGAAGCAGUCUAUGUCAUACUUCCAAGAAAAGCUUGCAAUGUCAUAAACAAAUAAUGCCUGUACCAUAACCGACACAGGUGGGUAGGUAGAGUAUACUAAGGGGCGCGAGAUAACUCUCUCUAAGGAACUCGGCAAAAUGACUCCGUAACUUCGGGAGAAGGAGUGCCUUAUUUUUAUAAGGUUGCAAUAACAAGAUCCAAGCAACUGUUUACCAAAAACACAGGUCUCCGCUAAGUCGUAAGACGAUGUAUGGGGGCUGACGCCUGCCCAGUGCCAGAAGGUUAAAGAAGUUGGUUAGCAUUAGCGAAGCUGAUAACUGAAGCCCUGGUGAACGGCGGCCGUAACAAUAACGGUCCUAAGGUAGCGAAAUUCCUUGUCGGGUAAGUUCCGACCCGCACGAAAGGCGUAAUGAUUUGGAUACUGUCUCGGAGAGGGGCUCGGUGAAAUAGACUUGUCUGUGAAGAUGCGGACUACCUGCACCUGGACAGAAAGACCCUAUGAAGCUUUACUGUAACUUGAGAUUGAAAUUGGACUUUAUCUGCGCAGUAUAGGUGGGAGACGUUGAAAAUAUUCUUGCGGGAAUAUUGGAGUCAUCAGUGAGAUACCACUCUUAUAAUGUUAGAUUUCUAACUUUGUAUCAUUAUCUGUCAAAGAACAGUUUCAGGCGGGCAGUUUGACUGGGGCGGUCGCCUCCCAAACGGUAACGGAGGCGCACAAAGGUUUCCUCUGAACGUGUAGAAAUCGUAUCUAGAGUGUAAAGGCAUAAGGAAGCUUGACUGUGAGACCUACAAGUCGAGCAGGGACGAAAGUCGGUCUUAGUGAUCUGACGGUGCUGAGUGGAAAGGCCGUCACUCAACGGAUAAAAGUUACUCUAGGAUAACAGGCUGAUCUCCCCCAAGAGUUCACAUCGACGGGGAGGUUUGGCACCUCGAUGUCGGCUCAUCGCAUCCUGGGGCGGUAGUACGUCCCAAGGGUUGGGCUGUUCGCCCAUGAAAGCGGUACGCGAGCUGGGUUCAGAACGUCGUGAGACAGUUCGGUCCAUAUCCGGUGUAGGCGUUAGAAUAUUGAGAGGAGCCUUCUUUAGUACGAGAGGACCGAGAAGGACAUACCUCUGGUGUACCAGUUAUCGUGCCAACGGUAAACGCUGGGUAGCCAUGUAUGGAGAGGAUAACCGCUGAAAGCAUCUAAGUGGGAAGCCCACCUCAAGAUAAG